CUACGGGAGGCAGCAGUGGGGAAUCUUGGACAAUGGGGGCAACCCUGAUCCAGCGACGCCGCGUGGGUGACGAAGGCCUUCGGGUUGUAAAGCCCUUUUGUCGGGGACGAUGAUGACGGUACCCGGCGAACAAGCACCGGCUAACUCCGUGCCAGCAGCCGCGGUAAGACGGAGGGUGCUAGCGUUGUUCGGAAUUACUGGGCGUAAAGGGCGCGUAGGCGGCCAGAUCAGUCGGGUGUGAAAGCCCGGGGCUCAACCCCGGAACGGCACCCGAGACGGUUUGGCUGGAGACCGGGAGAGGAGGGUGGAAUAGCCAGUGUAGAGGUGAAAUUCGUAGAUAUUGGCUGGAACACCGGUGGCGAAAGCGGCUCUCUGGCCCGGUUCUGAUGCUGAGGCGCGAAAGCGUGGGGAGCAAACAGGAUUAGAAACCCGUGUAGUCC
rnacentral:rRNA from 1 species